rnacentral:lncRNA from 1 species
AUAUAUUUCCAUUAAAGGUAAGAGUGAUACCUUGUAGCUAUGACCAGUCUUUCAAGCUGGCAUCCACCUCUAUGGUAUGAUACUAAGGAUGGUAGGAAAAAAAACUAAACUUGAUAAAUCUUCAUGUAUUUACUUUCUCUUUCAAAAAAAAAAAACCAAAAACUUGAGAAUUCCCAAUGAAUAUGUAAAUAUAUCCCCUAGCUGGAGUGAGUGCUGUGAUGGUGGCGCGGGAACUGGUGAGUUUUGGGGACACAGGUAUGCAGGUACAACAUCUCCUAGGGCCUCAGCCAACAGGAAGAAAAAAGACAUCUUAAAGAUCACUCUAGGAUAACACCAAAAGUAAACACAUUCAUCCAUUUACAGUUUUGCUGUGGAGUCAUGAGAUGCUACUCAGAAUCCUUGCUCAUGCUGCAAACUGACCAACCUUGUAAGUAGAAAGUUGAAGAGCAAGCUCCACAGGUCAGCUUCUCUGCUUUCCUUUCAGGGAGUAAAUUUCUACUCUUUAAGGAUCCUAAUGUGAAAUGCACACUUUUGGUGUGCAUGGGAAAGGGAAAAAGGCUGAAUAAAAUGUGGAACUGCCAUCCCCUGCUCUACCAGACAACCACUCCAGAAAUCUACAUGUAAAAAUGUAAAUGCUUGCAAGAAGCCUCUUCUUUUUAAAAAAUCCAUUACUUUCUGACUGUCAGCAUAUUUGAAAAAUAAAGAUCCUUUCCAAUUUCUUUGAAGCUAACAGAAUCUGUUUCUUAGUGAUUGUGUCAGAGGUUUCAAAACUGUUGCUCUCAGUUUUUUCCUUAACAUUUAAGAAUAUGUUUCAUUUUUGAGUCUGUCAAAGACUUUUAACAAAUUGGAAUAUUGUUGCUCAUUCAGUUAGAUUUUUUUUUUUUCCUGGAUGAACACGAUACAACAAAUCUGUUUUGGUGUCUUUAAAAUCAGAGUUUUGGCUUAUUAAAAUAGUUAAAUAUUGGUUGCUCUUUUUAAGGUUUUGGGGUUUCUUUUGAAACUGAAUUAUUUUUGUGUUUGCCCUCUGCGUCAGGGUAUUGGUUUUAUAACUAAGUGGACCAACAAUUUUCUCCAUAAUCAGAUGCUCAGUUAAUAAGAAAUGGCAAGCAUAUUAUACUCCUGGCUCUUUCAGAAUUAUCACAGUAUAGUCAAUGAAUUGUUACUAUAAGGACACUGUCGAAAUAUAAUGAUUUUAAGGACUCUUUGGGGAACAGCAAAAAAAAAAGAUAUUUUGAAUAUUAUCAGAUAUAAAUGACUAGGACACAUUCAUUCUUGUGGUUUAGAUUUUAUUUAUGUUUUAUCUAGUGUAAAGUCUGAAAAAAAUGUUUUCUAUGAAAAAGCCUCUUGAUGAAAGUCAAAGAGGAGAGCGAAAAAGUUGGCCUAA